GAUGAACGCUGGCGGUAUGCUUAACACAUGCAAGUCGAACGGACUCUUCGGAGUUAGUGGCGGACGGGUGAGUAACGCGUGAGAAUCUGGCUUUGGGUUCGGGACAACCACUGGAAACGGUGGCUAAUACCGGAUGUGCCGAGAGGUAAAAGAGAAAUUGCCUGAAGAUGAGCUCGCGUCUGAUUAGCUAGUUGGUGUGGUAAAGGCUCACCAAGGCAGCGAUCAGUAGCUGGUCUGAGAGGAUGACCAGCCACACUGGGACUGAGACACGGCCCAGACUCCUACGGGAGGCAGCAGUGGGGAAUUUUCCGCAAUGGGCGAAAGCCUGACGGAGCAAUACCGCGUGAGGGAAGAAGGCUCUUGAGUUGUAAACCUCUCUUCUUAGGGAAGAACAAAAUGACGGUACCUAAGGAAUCAGCAUCGGCUAACUCCGUG
rnacentral:rRNA from 1 species